UGAGUUGACUAGACAACCGCUGCUUUAUCGUUGUCCCUUCGGGGGAGACGGAUAGAGGGGAGGAAAGUCCGGGCUCCACAGGGCAGGGUGCCAGAUAACGUCUGGGAGGCGCGAGCCUACGACAAGUGCAGCAGAGAGUAAACCGCCGAUGGCCUGUUUACAGGAUCAGGUAAGGGUGAAAGGGUGCGGUAAGAGCGCACCGCGCAACUGGUAACAGUUUGUGGCAUGGUAAACUCCACCCGGAGCAAGACCAAAUAGGGGUUCUUAUGGUGCGGCCCGCAUUGAACCUGGGUAGGUUGCUUGAGCCAGCGCGCAAGUUCUGGCCUAGAUGAAUGGUUGUCCACGACAGAACCCGGCUUAACGGUCAACUCACCUC
rfam:Proteus penneri ATCC 35198 genomic scaffold Scfld2, whole genome shotgun sequence.